GAUGAACGCUGGCGGCGUGCCUAAUACAUGCAAGUCGAGCGAACAGACGAGGAGCUUGCUCCUCUGACGUUAGCGGCGGACGGGUGAGUAACACGUGGAUAACCAACCUAUAAGACUGGGAUAACUUCGGGAAACCGGAGCUAAUACCGGAUAAUAUAUUGAACCGCAUGGUUCAAUAGUGAAAGACGGUUUUGCUGUCACUUAUAGAUGGAUCCGCGCCGCAUUAGCUAGUUGGUAAGGUAACGGCUUACCAAGGCAACGAUGCGUAGCCGACCUGAGAGGGUGAUCGGCCACACUGGAACUGCGACACGGUCCAGACUCCUACGGGAGGCAGCAGUAGGGAAUCUUCCGCAAUGGGCGAAAGCCUGACGGAGCAACGCCGCGUGAGUGAUGAAGGUCUUCGGAUCGUAAAACUCUGUUAUUAGGGAAGAACAAAUGUGUAAGUAACUAUGCACGUCUUGACGGUACCUAAUCAGAAAGCCACGGCUAACUACGUG
rnacentral:rRNA from 1 species